UUCCGGUUGAUCCCGCCGGAGGUUACUGCUAUCCGAAUCCGAUUAAGACAUGCGAGUCAAUGCCGCAAGGCAUGGCGAACUGCUCAGUAACACGUAGCUAACAUGCCCUUGGAACCGGAAUAAUCCCGCGAAAGUGGGGCUAAUACCGGAUAGUUGAUGGAGGCCGGAAUGCGCCAUCAAUCAAAGGCCCGCAAGGGCGUCCAAGGAUUGGGCUGCGGCCGAUCAGGCUGUUGUGAGGGUAAAGACCUCACAAACCUAUAACCGGUAAGGGCCAUGAAAGUGGGAGCCCUGAGAUGGAUUCUGAGACAUGAAUCCAGGUCCUACGGGACGCAGCAGUUACGAAAACUUCGCAAUGCGCGCAAGCGCGACGAGGGGAUUCGGAGUGUUACGACUUUUUGUCGUAUCUUUUACCAAGGUUAAGGCCCUUGGUGAAUAAGUGGUGGGCAAGACGAGUGCCAGCCGCCGCGGUAAUACUCGCGCCACGAGUGGUGACCACGAUUAUUUGGCCUAAAGUGUCCGUAGCUGGUUCGAUAAGUCUCUGGUGAAAUCUCAUAGUUGACUAUGAGGCGUGCUGGGGAUACUGACGAACUUGGGACCGGGAAAGGGCAGAGGUAUUUUUAGGGUAGGGGUAAAAUCCUAUAAUCCUAAAAAGACCACCAGUGGCGAAGGCGUUUGCCUAGAACGGAUCCGACAGUGAUGGACGAAAGCUAGGGGAGCGAUCGGGAUUAGAUACCCCAGUAGUCCUAGCCGUAAACGAUGCAAACUUGGUGUUGCCAGUUCUAUAGGAACAGGCAGUGCCGUAGCGUAGGUGUUAAGUUUGCCGCCUGGGGAGUACGGCCGCAAGGCUGAAACUUAAGGGAAUUGGCGGGGGAGCACACAAGGAGUGUAGGCUGCGGUUCAAUUGGAUUCAACACCGGAAAUCUUACUAGCGUCGACAGCAGAAUGAAGGUCAGUUUAAAGUGCUUACCAGACAAGCUGAGAGGAGGUGCAUGGCCAUCGUCAGCUCGUAUCGUGAGACGUGCCGUUAAGUCGGUUAACGAGCGAGACCCAUGUCCUACGUUGCUAAUCGUCCCUUCGGGGGCGAUGCACUCAUAGGAGACCGCUGUUGAUAAAACAGAGGAAGGAGUGGGCGACGGUAGGUCCGUAUGCCCCAAAUGCGCUAGGCUACACGCGGGCCCUCAAUGGAUAGUACAGUGGGAUGCAACCCCGAAAGGGGAAGCCAAACCCCCAAAUCUAUUCCCAGUCUGAAUCGAGGGUUGUAACUCACCCUCGUGAAACUGGAAUUCCUAGUAAGCGAAAGUCACUAUCUUUCGCUGAAUGCGUCCCUGCUCCUUGCACACACCGCCCGUC
rnacentral:rRNA from 1 species